rnacentral:rRNA from 1 species
AUGGCUCAGGAUGAACGCUGGCGGCGUAGCCUAACACAUGCAAGUCGAACGAAGCGACCUGGACCGGAACCCUUCGGGGCGAAGGACCUUGUGACUUAGUGGCGGACGGGUGAGUAACGCGUGGGUAACCUGCCCGGUACAGGGGGAUAACAGACUGGAAACAGCUGCUAAUACCGCAUAAGCCUGUAAUACCGCAUGGUAUAUCAGGAAAAACUUCGGUGGUACCGGAUGGGCCCGCGUCUGAUUAGCUAGUUGGAGGGGUAACGGCCCACCAAGGCGACGAUCAGUAGCCGGCUUGAGAGAGUGACCGGCCACAUUGGGACUGAGACACGGCCCAAACGUCCUACGGGAGGCAGCAGUGGGGAAUAUUGCACAAUGGGGGGAACCCUGAUGCAAGCAACGCCGCGUGAGUGAAGAAGUAUUUCGGUAUGUAAAGCUCUAUCAGCAGGGAAGAUAAUGACGGUACCUGACUAAGAAGCCCCGGCUAACUACGUGCCAGCCGCCGC